UAGGGAAUCUUCCACAAUGGACGCAAGUCUGAUGGAGCAACGCCGCGUGAGUGAAGAAGGUUUUCGGACCGUAAAGCUCUGUUGUUGGUGAAGAAGGAUAGAGGUAGUAACUGGCCUUUAUUUGACGGUAAUCAACCAGAAAGUCACGGCUAACUACGUGCCAGCAGCCGCGGUAAUACGUAGGUGGCGAGCGUUGUCCGGAUUUAUUGGGCGUAAAGCGAGCGCAGGCGGAAGAAUAAGUCUGAUGUGAAAGCCCUCGGCUUAACCGAGG
rnacentral:rRNA from 1 species